rnacentral:rRNA from 1 species
UGCUGGAGGUAUCAGAAGUGCGAAUGCUGACAUAAGUAACGAUAAAGCGGGUGAAAAGCCCGCUCGCCGGAAGACCAAGGGUUCCUGUCCAACGUUAAUCGGGGCAGGGUGAGUCGACCCCUAAGGCGAGGCCGAAAGGCGUAGUCGAUGGGAAACAGGUUAAUAUUCCUGUACUUGGUGUUACUGCGAAGGGGGGACGGAGAAGGCUAUGUUAGCCGGGCGACGGUUGUCCCGGUUUAAGCAUGUAGGCUGAUUAUCCAGGCAAAUCCGGAUAAUCAAGGCUGAGGUGUGAUGACGAGGCACUACGGUGCUGAAGUAACAAAUGCCCUGCUUCCAGGAAAAGCCUCUAAGCAUCAGGUAACAUCAAAUCGUACCCCAAACCGACACAGGUGGUCAGGUAGAGAAUACCA